rnacentral:rRNA from 1 species
GUGGGGAAUAUUGGGCAAUGGGGGCAACCCUGACCCAGCGACGCCGCGUGAGGGAAGAAGGCCUUAGGGUCGUAAACCUCUGUUGUGUGGGAAGAAGGAAGUGACGGUACCACACGAGGAAGUCCCGGCUAACUACGUGUCAGCAGCCGCGGUAAUACGUAGGGGACGAGCGUUGUCCGGAAUUACUGGGCGUAAAGGGCGCGUAGGCGGUCAUUUAAGUCAGCUGUGAAAUGGUCCGGCUCAACCGGAUCAUGCGGUUGAAACUGGAUGACUGGAGUGCUGGAGAGGCAAGUGGAAUUCCCAGUGUAGCGGUGAAAUGCGUAGAUAUUGGGAAGAACACCGGUGGCGAAGGCGACUUGCUGGCCAGCAACUGACGCUGAGGCGCGAAAGCCAGGGGAGCAAACGGGAUUAGAAACCCGGGUAGUCC